rnacentral:rRNA from 1 species
AUACAUGCAAGUCGAACGAUAGAUACCAGCUUGCUGGUAUCAAAAGUGGCGCACGGGUGCGUAACGCGUAUGCAACCUGCCUCAAUCAGGGGGAUAGCCCGAAGAAAUUCGGAUUAACACCGCAUAAAAACACAGUACAGCAUUGUACAAUGUUCAAAUAUUUAUAGGAUUGAGAUGGGCAUGCGUGUCAUUAGCUAGUUGGCGGGGUAACGGCCCACCAAGGCGACGAUGACUAGGGGAUCUGAGAGGAUGACCCCCCACACUGGUACUGAGACACGGACCAGACUCCUACGGGAGGCAGCAGUAAGGAAUAUUGGUCAAUGGAGGCAACUCUGAACCAGCCAUGCCGCGUGCAGGAAGACAGCCCUCUGGGUCGUAAACUGCUUUUAUUCGGGAAUAAACCUUAUUACGUGUAAUAAGCUGAAUGUACCGAARGAAUAAGGAUCGGCUAACUCCGUGCCAGCAGCCGCGGUAAUACGGAGGAUCCAAGCGUUAUCCGGAUUUAUUGGGUUUAAAGGGUGCGUAGGCGGCUUAUUAAGUCAGGGGUGAAAGACGGUGGCUCAACCAUCGCAGUGCCCUUGAUACUGAUGAGCUUGAAUGAACUAGAGGUAGGCGGAAUGUGACAAGUAGCGGUGAAAUGCAUAGAUAUGUCACAGAACACCGAUUGCGAAGGCAGCUUACUAUGGUUUUAUUGACGCUGAGGCACGAAAGCGUGGGGAUCAAACAGGAUUAGAUACCCUGGUAGUCCACGCCCUAAACGAUGAAUACUCGCUGUUAGCGAUAUACAGUUAGCGGCUAAGCGAAAGCGUUAAGUAUUCCACCUGGGGGAGUACGCCCGCAAGGGUGAAACUCAAAGGAAUUGACGGGGGCCCGCACAAGCGGAGGAGCAUGUGGUUUAAUUCGAUGAUACGCGAGGAACCUUACCCGGGCUUGAAAGUUAGUGAAUUAUCUAGAGAUAGAUAAGUGAGCAAUCACACGAAACUAGGUGCUGCAUGGCUGUCGUCAGCUCGUGCCGUGAGGUGUUGGGUUAAGUCCCGCAACGAGCGCAACCCCUAUGUUUAGUUGCCAGCACGUCAAGGUGGGGACUCUAAACAGACUGCCUGUGCAAACAGAGAGGAAGGAGGGGACGACGUCAAGUCAUCAUGGCCCUUACGUCCGGGGCUACACACGUGCUACAAUGGAUGGUACAGAGGGCAGCAAGCUGGCAACAGCAAGCAAAUCUCAAAAAGCCAUUCACAGUUCGGAUAGAGGUCUGCAACUCGACCUCUUGAAGUUGGAUUCGCUAGUAAUCGCGUAUCAGCAAUGACGCGGUGAAUACGUUCCCGGGCCUUGUACACACCGCCCGUCAAGCCAUGGAAGUUGGGGGUACCUAAAGUAUGUAACCGCAAGGAG